CCAGCCUUGUGUUUUGUAUGAAUUUGAAAAGCAUAGCAUCUUGCCGACAGGACAUAGGAUGACCCAAGUCUGGAAGAUGAUUAUUUCUAUUCCUCCUGGUCACAGUGAUUGGACCCAAGUUGGACCAAUCAGAAACCUACCUUGGAAUUUUUACAUGGAAAUCUGGUGGGGAAAGCUAUCUUGUUUUCCUUAGGUAUGGGAUUGUAAAUAUCUGAACCCCAGCUGCUGGUGAUUAUGGGGAGUGGGGUUUAGAAAAGACGUGUGCAGGGUGGGACAGGGGUUAUGGGAAGAAAGAACGUCCUCCCAUACUUCCAGGGAGACCUCUGCAUUCGCAUUUUCAGUUUUUAUCCGAAACUCUGCUGGAAAAGACUGGAGCAGACCUGGCCAAGAUUCACUGAAAGAGAAGAGCAAUGGGGCCGUUAAUUAAAGUAAUCAUAAGCAGAGAGAGAUACUAGACCAAUGGCCUCUUUCUGGCAUUGACUCAAAAAAAUAAAAGAAAAUAGAAAAAGGUAGUUCUAGGAAUCCAAGACCAAGAGAAUACCCAAGUUGAACUACUCCCAACCCAAGGAAGCUUAUGCCUGCACCAAGUGGGACCUUGCACGAUGAUUAUCACGCUUCUCUAUUCCACUUUCUAGGAUAAGGGAGAUAUCAGGAACCGGGCUAGGUGAGGUUGGGUGUCCGGACCAAGCAUUGGCACCCAAGAACAUCUAACAAGGCUCAAGGAGGCCAUAUCCAAGCCUAGAACCCACAUCAGAUCUACACACAAGGUCCGGCCCCAGGAACUUGAUCUUCUGAAGUGGUUGGAAAAGAGAGUUUUAACAGAUGGGGAUUCACCACCUUGAGAUGCUGAAAUGUCGUUGUCUCUGAGCUGGAGAGAUCUGGGUUCCUCUCUGGGCUCUGUCGCUCACCACCUCUGUGAACUUGGACGCGUUAAUUUACUCACCUCCCUGAGCUUCAGGGCCAUUAACUCUGAAAUGUGGACAUAAACACUUACUUGCCUAAGUUUGUUUUGAAGUUUGAGACCAUGUUUAUUCAGUUCUGGUCCAUAUUAGAUACUCAGUAGCUAUGAACUAUAAUUAUUCAUUGUAAUUCAGAGAAAGAGAGAGAUGACAGAGAGCCAACACUCUGUGAUCAUGGCGGACGUGAAAACCCUGAUGUCCACUGGGGUUACUUUGUCCUUUGAAAUUCAAAAUUGGCUUUACUGCCACCCCACCUAUGGGGGGAGAGCCAGCGUCGCUUCCCAUCUCUCUAGGACUCUGAGAGCCCUGAUGCAGAUUGGCUCUUCGGCUUCUCUGGUCGCUGUCUUUGUGUUUCUCCUUUCAUGGAGUUUCAGGGCCACCUCACUGUCUUGCAAGCACUGUCCACAAAGCAUGCAACCCCCAGUUUUCCACCUCCUCUGCUUCUCCUAAGACAAAGUUAUGUUCCUCAGAUUUUUGGCAAAGCUUUAAGGCAACAGAGGUUUAUGUGGCAAUACCCCCAAACCCAAGCUGGAAUAUUAAACAUCCCUGCUCCUAAAAAAAUGCCCUCUGACCCCCUGCCAUGGGGCACUUAUCACUGAUUACCUUUCUCUACAGGCUCCGUCUUUCUCUACAGGCUCCAUCUUUCUCUACAGGCUCCGUCUUUCUCUACAGGCUCCAUCUUUCUCUACAGGGUCCGUCUUUCUCUACAGGCUCCGUCUUUCUCUACAGGCUCCGUCUUUCUCUACAGGCUCCGUCUUUCUUUACAGGCUCUGUCUUUCUCUACAGGCUCCAUCUUUCUCUACAGGCUCCAUCUUUCCAUCUUGUUACUCCGUCUCCUUCUCCUUUCCAUCCCCUCUCCUCUUACCUCAGCCUAACCAUCCUCCCCGUAACAACCACCAAUUCCUGCCAACCAAACAGAGAGCACCUUUGUCCAAAGAGCCGUCUCCUUCCACAUGGAGAAUCUUUUCACACAAAAGUAACCCAUCAAGGCAUUUUCCUCAUCAAACAUAGUUCUCACCUGAAGAGGCUCUCUGGAGCCAGCUGUUGAAAUAACAUUUUUUUGUUCCACAACAUGGGGUAACUCAGAAAUACAAAUGACUCUGGGUCAGGACUGCCAUAUAAGGUUUUGCAGGUUG
ensembl:lncRNA